rnacentral:sRNA from 1 species
AGCAACGGGAGAUGGCGGAACCGGGCGGCGCGGCGGGCCGGUAAGCCGGGCCGAGGGGCAGCGGGUCUUGGAGUCGCCAGGCCGCGCUCUCCGUUCACCGCUCCAGGUGUCACCACCAGAGAAGGAUGAUGGCCAGAAAGGUGAAGAAGCUGUCGGUAGCACAGAGCAUCCUGAAGAAGUCACAACCCAAGCGGAAGCUGCAAUUGAAGAGGGGGAGGUCCAGACAGAAGGGGAAGCAGCAGUGGAAGGGGAAGAGGAGGCUGUGUCCUAUGGAGAUGCUGAAAGCGAAGAGGAAUAUUACUAUACAGAAACUUCAUUCCCGGAAGGGCAAAUCAGUGCUACAGAUACAACUUACCCGUAUUUCAGUCCUCCUCAGGAACUGCCUGGAGAGGAGGCGUACGAUAGUGUUAGCGGGGAGGCUGGUCUCCAAGGCUCCCAGCAAGAGGCCACCGGUCCACCA